rnacentral:ncRNA from 1 species
UGUCUUCAGGGCGGGGUGUAAUUCCCCACUGGCGGUAUAGUCCGCGACCAAAUGUGUGUCCCAUAUUUGCUGACCCGGUGAAACUCCGGGACCAACGGUUAAAGUCCGGAUGGAAGAAGAUG